rnacentral:rRNA from 1 species
CAAUAGCAUAUAUUAACGUUGUUGCAGUUGAAAAGCUCGUAGUUGAACUUUUGGUAGGAGCGACCUGGCCUUGGGCGCAUGCCCUUGUUUGCCGUGUGUCGUAUCUGGCCAUCCUUUUCUUCUUCGGAAGGAAUCUUUUACUGUGAGUAAACUGGAGUGCUCAAAACAAGACGUUUGUUUGGUACAUUAAAGCAUGGAAUAAUAAGAUAGGACCUGGUUACUAUUUUGUUGGUUUGCAUAGCUAGGUAAUGAUUAACAGGGACAGUAGGGGGUAUUCGUAUUUAAUUGUCAGAGGUGAAAUUCUUGGAUUUAUGAAAGACGAACGACUGCGAAAGCAUUUACCAAGGAUGUUUUCAUUAA